UCGUCUUCUCUCCGCUGUUUUUUGCGCGCAAGGCGAGAGCGGGGCUAUGGCGGAUAGGCGGCGCGAAAAACAGAAGCAUCGUGACCGAGAUCGAGAGCGGGAGCGGGACCGAGAUCGAGAGCGGGAGCGCGACCGAGACCGAGAUCGAGACCGGGAACGCAACAGGGACCGCGACCGAGAUCGAGAGCGCGAGAGAGACCGGAAGCGGUCCCGCUCCCCGUCCCGCUCCCCCUCCGGCUCGGGCUCCCGCUCCCGCUCCCGCUCCGCCGACCGCUCUAGCCGCCGCCACGGUCAUAACCACCACCAACACCACCACCAAAAUCGCCGGCGCUCCCCCUCCCCCGAGUCCCACCGCCGCAAGCGCCGCCGCGAGGGCAGCAAUGACCUCCCCCCCGCUGCCUCGGCCGAGCUUGCAGACGGCGUUCCCAAGAACCAUAAGAAGCAAGGAGGUGGCAGCGGCGGCCCGGCGGACGGCGAGGCUGCAGCUGUCCCAACGGACGCCAACACAGAGGAACUGGAGAUGAUGAAGCAGUUUGGGAUUCCGUUAGGGUUCGAUUCCACCAAGGGGAAGCCCGUGCCAGGGGCCGAUGUUAGCGGCGUGAGGGUGGUGACAAAGCGGCAGCCGAGACAAUAUAUGAAUCGCAGAGGAGGCUUUAAUCGGCCCCUUCCUCCGGAACGCAACCGUUAGCACCCUGUCUCAGUUCCAAAGGAACUUGAACAAUUCAUUUCUGCUUGCGUGGGGACUUAGAUCAUCACUGGAAAGAGCAAAUAUAAGUUAUAUUCUUUCCUGUAAGAAAAUUGCUUGUAGAGAUGAUUUUACUUAUUCCAUUGUUUCCAUUUUAAGAAAUAAAGGUGAAAUUCAGUUGGAGAGAGAACAAGAGGAAAAGAAACAUGUUGUAUGCUGCCUUCAAUAUUGUUCUGGAGCAGGGUGCCAGCUGCAGUGAAGCUUCUUUACAAUUCAAGAAAGAUUGAGAUUUGAGCCAUAGGGAUCAAAAAGUAGGCCCUCUCUGCCUUCUACAAUUUUGUCAAGGGUUCUCUUGCUUCUGUUGCUGUGAUCUACUCUUGCUGCCUCACCAUGUUCACCUUGGCAACCCCUCUUCUUCUAUUGGAAUUUCCUGAGGGCCAUUUCUUUUUAAUUUGCUAAUCAUGGGAGCACGCCAGGAACGCAGCAUAAUUCGAUGCUUAUUAUUUGGUACUAGAUGGGGUUCCGUUAUCAUCUAUUUGUGGAAAGGUUGUGCAACUGCUUUACAUUUAUAACAGUUCUCCCUCAUCUUAGAAAAUAACUAGCUCAAACCUUUGCAGACUUUUUGGGUAUUUGUCCUUUGUUUCAUCAUUGUUCUGUCGACAGUCCUGGAGAAACAGAAAUUGCUGGCAUUGUAUUGAGAUUAUCGGUAGUCAACCUGUUCUUCACAUAAUUUGUCUGUAUUUUUCAGGUACCUGGCUCAUCAGGUGAGAAAAAUUCUGGAUUCCCUUUUCAGUUCAUCCCUUUCCAUCUUCUUUUUCUACCUAACUGGUGCAAAAGCACUCCAAAAUCUGAACCUAUAUGAUAGUGCUCCACAGAUUGUAUGUUGAUCUUAGAUAGUCAAGGAGCCCAGAAUUUGUAUGUUUCAAGUUGCUGUGAUGGGACCUAGAGUCCUCGAACAAUGAGCUAUGAAAACCGAAACAUUUUUUUUUUUCUUUUUCCCUCCAUACCGGUCCUAUUCUGAUACAUUUCUACGAGAUCUGCCGUACGCUGAAUUGUAAACAUCUAGGAUCUGCAGUCCAGCACAUGUAUCUUUUAAGAUAAUUGUAGAAGUUGCAGUCUACUGAGAGAUUUAUAGGCAGAUGUCCUACAAUCUUUUGUUUGGUAUAAGCUACUCUUGGGCACCGGCUGGACCCUUUAAAAUUAUACAGAUUCAUGUAUAAAGUGCUGCGCAAUACAAUUAUGCUAUACGUCCUUAAUGCCGAA